GUGCUCACUUCAGCAGCACAUAUACUAAAAUUGGAAUGAUACAGAUAAUGGCAUGGCCCCUGCGCAAGGAUGACACACAAAUUCAUGAAGCGUUCCAUAUUAAA
rnacentral:snRNA from 1 species